UUUGAAGAGUAUCGAGGAAAACUAAAGGCACUUCGCACGAUGAUGAUGUGCUAUGAAAAUAAUGAAGUUCCUCCUCUUUAUAGAAACGUUCUUGUUUUAUACACUUUUGGGCUUUUAUAUACGAACUUUAAGCCUGUGUGGGAAGGCUCUAUAGCUCUUCUCCGCCAGUUCGUUUCUUCCAGACAGAGAGGCUUCUGGAAACUUUUUAUAAAACACUUACGCUCUACUCACGAAGUGGUACAGCUCUUGAAAGGGAACGCCUUUCCUUUAGAGAUGCAUGAAAGGGAAGAAGAUUGGCUGGCUGACCAUGUUGAUCGCGAUAGACUCGAUUAUCAGCAUUACUUCUCACUUUUAC